rnacentral:rRNA from 1 species
AGCGAACGCUGGCGGCAGGCCUAACACAUGCAAGUCGAACGAACUCUUCGGAGUUAGUGGCGGACGGGUGAGUAACACGUGGGAACGUGCCUUUUGGUUCGGAAUAACUCAGGGAAACUUGUGCUAAUACCGAAUGUGCCCUUCGGGGGAAAGAUUUAUCGCCAUUAGAGCGGCCCGCGUCUGAUUAGCUAGUUGGUGAGGUAACGGCUCACCACGGCGACGAUCAGUAGCUGGUCUGAGAGGAUGACCAGCCACACUGGGACUGAGACACGGCCCAGAAUCCUACGGGAGGCAGCAGUGGGGAAUCUUGCGCAAUGGGCGAAAGCCUGACGCAGCCAUGCCGCGUGAAUGAUGAAGGUCUUAGGAUUGUAAAAUUCUUUCACCGGGGACGAUAAUGACGGUACCCGGAGAAGAAGCCCCGGCUAACUUCGUG